CUUCCACAACCACGUCUUGUUCUCCAUGAUUCCUACAAAUUCCUGAAACAUAGAUAGAGCUUUAGAUCAAAAACACGAGGCCACUGAUAAACAGUGAAAUUGAGAAUAAAUUUCCGCUUUCCUGAAGAAAAAAAGUAACAUGCCCGAGCGAACUAUCGAAUGUACCUCGAGAAAAAGCUCUGUACCGAAGGAAGAAAACCUCAGUUUAAGCCAGAAACUCCAUCGUCAGCACAAUUUUUUUUUAUGAGAGACAAGCGCAAAGACAAAAACGCCAACAGGAAGGAAGGAACAGUAUUGGGAGUGGGAGCUGGCGCUUGUACGCGAGCGAUGGUGCUUGGUGGGCGCGAGGAGAAAGAGCCAAAGCACGCGAAUAGGAGAGCGUGGAAAGAAAAGAAAGGUGGGCGACGAAAGGAAAAGGUCGAAAAGGCGC